rnacentral:lncRNA from 1 species
AGAGGGAGUUCCGCGCACGUAUCUAUUGGUUCUGCCUCGAUGGCGGGCAGCCGUACCGGGGUUUUGCGAGCGCUGCAGGCAGUGGACACCGAGCUUACUGCGGACUCGGUGGAAUGGUGCCCGGUUGAGGGUUGCCAGCAUCUGCUGGCCUGCGGAACCUACCAGCUGCGAGCGCCCAAGGACCAGGUGCAUGGCUGGGAGGUUGAGGCCGGGGCAGAAGAGGGACUGCUAACCUAAAAGGUCUAGAACUGAGUACUAAUGGGAAGGGACUUUUUGGGACUGUGCCUAUUUCCGGAAGGUUUUCUGAGCAUCCAAAAAAACCGCUUAAGAGAAUUAUGGCUAUGUAACUGCUGGCAGGUCGGAACUGUACUGGCUGUACUGGAUCCGGG